AACGUAGGUGGCAAGCGUUAUCCGGAUUUACUGGGCGUAAAGGGUGUGCAGGCGGGCGUGCAAGUGGUGUAUGAAAUCUCCCGGCUUAACCGGGAGGGGUUAUGCCAGACUGCACGUCUAGAGGACGAGAGAGGGGGGUGGAAUUCCGGGUGUAGUGGUGAAAUGCGUAGAGAUCCGGAGGAACCCCAGAGGCGAAGGCGGCCCCCUGGCUCGUACCUGACGCUCAGCCACGAAAGCAUGGGGAGCGAACGGG
rnacentral:rRNA from 1 species